UUCUUCUUCUUCUUCACAAAAACUGAAACGCUCUCGACUCUCCACUGUCACGCAGCAUGCUCUUAAUUCUUCUUCUUCUUCUUAGUUCUUAGUUCUUAGUUCUUCUUCUGUCAGGCUCUCCACUAUCACCCAUGACAGAUCUGGCAGAAUGAGCAAAAGAAGCAGUCUAGUAAACGGUUAGUAUGUAUGGAUGGGGAGUUUUCGAGUUCGAUAAAAUUUUCCUAUAAGAAGCAAGCCAAAG